CGACGUGCGCGGCCUAUACAUGCAAGUCGAGCGGAGAUUUGAAAAGCUUGCUUUUCAAAACUUAGCGGCGGACGGGUGAGUAACACGUGGGCAACCUGCCCUUGAGACGGGGAUAACUCCGGGAAACCGGAGCUAAUACCGGAUAACACAUAUCUUCGCAUGAGGAUAUGUUAGAAGGUGGCUUUUAGCUACCACUCAAGGAUGGGCCCGCGGCGCAUUAGCUAGUUGGUGAGGUAACGGCUCACCAAGGCGACGAUGCGUAGCCGACCUGAGAGGGUGAUCGGCCACACUGGGACUGAGACACGGCCCAGACUCCUACGGGAGGCAGCAGUAGGGAAUCUUCCGCAAUGGACGAAAGUCUGACGGAGCAACGCCGCGUGAGUGAUGAAGGUUUUCGGAUCGUAAAGCUCUGUUGUUAGGGAAGAACAAGUACCUGUUAAAUAAGCAGGUACCUUGACGGUACCUAACCAGAAAGCCACGGCUAACUACGUGCCAGCAGCCGCGGUAAUACGUAGGUGGCAAGCGUUGUCCGGAAUUAUUGGGCGUAAAGCGCGCGCAGGCGGUUCCUUAAGUCUGAUGUGAAAGCCCACGGAUCAGCCGUGGAGGGUCAUUGGAAACUGGGGAACUUGAGUGCAGAAGAGGAGAGCGGAAUUCCACGUGUAGCGGUGAAAUGCGUAGAGAUGUGGAGGAACACCAGUGUCGAAGGCGGCUCUCUGGUCUGUAACUGACGCUGAGGCGCGAAAGCGUGGGGAGCGAACAGGAGUAGAUACCCUGCUAGUCCACGCCGUACACGAUGAGUGCUAACUGUUAGAGGGUUUCCGCCCUUUAGUGCUGCAGCAAACGCAUCAAGCACUCCGCCUGGGAGUACGGACGCAAGACUGAAACUCAGAGGAACUUGACGGGGGACCCGCACAUGCGGUGGUAGCAUGUGGCUUAAUUUCGAAACCACUGACGAAGAACCUGUACCUAGGUCUUGAUCAUCCUCUGCAUACUUACUAGAGAUAGCAGGAUCUCUUUCUACGGACAGAUUGACAGGUGCUGCAUGCUCUGUCGUUCAGCUCGUGUCGUGAGAUGCUCGCAUAAAGUCCCGCAACUAGUGCCUAGCUGCAUCUUAGUUGCAGCAUCAGUAGGACUCGUAGUGACCUGGACUGUGAACAAGCGGAGACAGGCUGUGCGAAUGAC
rnacentral:rRNA from 1 species